GACGAACGCUGGCGGCGUGCCUAAUACAUGCAAGUCGAACGCAGUGGGGACGGGUGAGUAACACGUGGGUAACCUCCCAUCAGAGGGGAUAACACUUGGCAACAGGUGCUAAACCGAUACUGAUGUAUAAACCCGCGGUGCAUUAGCUAGUUGGUGAGGUAACGGCUCACCAAGGCCACGAUGCAUAGCCGACCUGAGAGGGGGAGCGGCCACACUGGGACUGAGACACGGCCCAGACUCCUACGGGAGGCAGCAGUAGGGAAUAUUCGGCAAUGGACGAAAGUCUGACCGAGCAACGCCGCGUGAGUGAAGAAGGUUUUCGGAUCGUAAAACACUGUUGUUAGAGAAGCGGUAUCUAACCAGAAAGCAACGGCUAACUACGUGCCAGCCGCCGCGGUAAUUC
rnacentral:rRNA from 1 species